UGGUCCUGUCCACAUUUUGAUACGCAGAUC
rnacentral:piRNA from 1 species